AAUUAACCUUACAUGCUUAUGCUUUAUAUUGUGACAAAUGAGCACUAUCUAACAACUAAUGUUUGUUAUACAUGUAUAUAUAUAUAUAACAUUGUAAAAUGGUAAAUAAGAAAAUGAGGGAAAAAAAAAAACAGUUACAUCAGACAUUUGAAAAGCUAUGAUUGAGGUUUAUUAAAGCACAAGUUAUGUUACAACUACAUGUACAUGUAUUACUUUCUGUGAUAAAUUUUGGUGAGAG
rnacentral:lncRNA from 1 species